rnacentral:rRNA from 1 species
ACACAUGGCAAGUCGAGCGGAGUCGUGGUGCUUGAAGUAUCCCUUAGCGGCGGACGGGAGAGUAUGCUUAAGAAUGUGCCAAUUAGGGGGGGACACAUUCCGAAAGGAAUGCUAAUACCGCAUAAGUCCUACAGGAGAAAGCGGGAGACCUAGGGGCCUUGCGCUAAUAGAUGACCCUGGGUCAUUUUGUCUAUGUGGGGGGGUAAAGGCCUACCAAGGAGACGAUCUGCUGGGGUCUGAGAGGACCAUCCGCCCUGUGACUACUGAAACACGGCCCCUACUCCUACGGGAGGCAGUGGGGAAUAAUAUUGGACAAUGGGGGGAACCCUGAUCCCAUCAUGCCGCGUGGGUGAAGAACGCCUUUUGGUUGUCUGCUUUUUACGCGAGGAGGAGGCUACUAUUAUUAAUACUACUGGAUAGUGGACGUUACUCGCUAAAUAAGCACCUAACUACCUCUGUGCCACCGCCGCGUAAAUACAGAGGGUGCGAGCGUUAAUCUUAUUUACUGGGCGUAAAGCGUGCGUAGGCGUCUGAUUAAGACGGAUGUGACCUCCCUGAGCUCAGCUUACUAAUUGCGUUCCAUACUGGCCAGCUAAAGUAUGAGAGAGGAGGAAAUCAUUCCGGGUGUAUCGGAUGAAUGCAUAUACAUCUGAACGACUACCGAUAGCGAAAGCCCCCGUCUGUGCUAUGACUGACACUGACGUAAGAAAGCGUGGCGAGCAAGAAUGAUUACACUGCCUGUCACCCCUGCCGUAUGUCUGUCUACUAUGGGUCUUCCCUGACUCAGUUUCGAGCUAAGCUAACACGAUACCACACCGCCUGGCGACCACGUCGCGAACUCAACUCAUUGACUUGACCCGCACCGCACAGCAUGAGGAGCAUGUAAUUUUAUGUCAAUGCAAAUAGAAUAACCUUCUCUGAUCUUGACAUAUAAUAUCUUAUACAGAGAAGUGUUGGUGCCAUAGGCGACUCACAUGCACGUGCUGCAUGCUGUCGUCGCUCGUGUAGAGAUAGGUUGAGUUAACGCCCCAACGCAGCCCAUCGCUUUACCUACUUGCACGGGAUUCUACUGGACUUCAGGGAUACCAUGCAAGGAAACUGGAGAAGGCAGAGACCAUGUCCCUCAUCUGUGGCCUCUACGACAGGUUACCACGCUGUAAAUAGUCUGGCUCUACACGGGAGCGGACAUAGAUACCGAUAGUCCUCAUCCUCUAAAAGCGCGACUGCAG